AACCCAAAGGACUUGACGGUGUCCCAUCCAACUAGAGGAGCCUGUUCUAUAAUCGACAUCCCCGAUAUACCUAACCCCGCUUUGCCUAUCAGCCUGUAUACCUCCGUCGCAAGCUUACCAUGUGAAUGGUUAAAUGGUCCAUCAACACGUCAGGUCAAGGUGCAGCUCAUGGCAGGGAAAGCAAUGGGCUACAAUUUCUAACAUAGAACAUACGAAAUGCUUCAUGAAACACAGCCACGAAGGCGGAUUUAGCAGUAAAAAGAAAAUAACGUGUUCUCUUUAACAAGGCCCUGGGACGUGUACACACCGCCCGUCACCCUCUUC
rnacentral:rRNA from 1 species